CAGCCGCCACGGUAAAACGUAGGUGGCAAGCGUUGUCUGGAAUUAUUGGGCGUAAAGGGCUCGCAGGCGGUUUCUUAAGUCUGAUGUGAAAGCCCCCGGCUCAACCGGGGAGGGUCAUUGGAAACUGGGAAACUUGAGUGCAGAAGAGGAGAGUGGAAUUCCACGUGUAGCGGUGAAAUGCGUAGGGAUGUGGAGGAACACCAGUGGCGAAGGCGACUCUCUGGUCUGUAACUGACGCUGAGGAGCGAAAGCGUGGGGAGCGAACAGGAUUAGAUACCCCGGUAGUCCCUGUCUCUUAUAC
rnacentral:rRNA from 1 species